rnacentral:rRNA from 1 species
AGGUGACUAUAGCAUCAGGGUUCCACCUCUUCCCAUUCCGAACAGAGAAGUUAAGCCUGAUCACGCCGAUGGUACUGCGUAACAGUGGGAGAGUAGGUAGUC